rnacentral:rRNA from 1 species
AUUGAACGCUGGCGGCAGGCCUAACACAUGCAAGUCGAGCGAGCGGCGGACGGGUGAGUGAAGUAUGGGGACUGCCCGAUAGAGGGGGAUAACUACUCGAAACGGUGGCUAAUACCGCAUACUGUAGGAUAACCCCUAUGGGAUUAGCUAGUAGGUAAGGUAAUGGCUUACCUAGGCGACGAUCCCUAGCUGGUCUGAGAGGAUGAUCAGCCACACUGGGACUGAGACACGGCCCAUACGCCUACGGAGGCAGCAGUGGGGAAUAUUGCACAAUGGGCGCAAGCCUGAUGCAGCCAUGCCGCGUGUAUGAAGAAGGCCCUAGGGUUGUAAAGUACUUUCAGUCGGGAGGCGUUACCGACAGAAGAAGUACCGGCUAACUCCGUGCCAGCAGCCGCGGGAAUAC